rnacentral:rRNA from 1 species
GAUGAACGCUGGCGGCGUGCCUAAUACAUGCAAGUCGAGCGAACAGAUGAGGAGCUUGCUCCUCUGACGUUAGCGGCGGACGGGUGAGUAACACGUGGAUAACCUACCUAUAAGACUGGGAUAACUUCGGGAAACCGGAGCUAAUACCGGAUAAUAUAUUGAACCGCAUGGUUCAAUAGUGAAAGACGGUUUUGCUGUCACUUAUAGAUGGAUCCGCGCCGCAUUAGCUAGUUGGUAAGGUAACGGCUUACCAAGGCAACGAUGCGUAGCCGACCUGAGAGGGUGAUCGGACACACUGGAACUGAGACACGGUCCAGACUCCUACGGGAGGCAGCAGUAGGGAAUCUUCCGCAAUGGGCGAAAGCCUGACGGAGCAACGCCGCGUGAGUGAUGAAGGUCUUAGGAUCGUAAAACUCUGUUAUUAGGGAAGAACAAAUGUGUAAGUAACUAUGCACGUCUUGACGGUACCUAAUCAGAAAGCCACGGCUAACUACGUG